GGAUCCAGACUUUGACUAUGGCUCAGGAUGAACGCUGGCGGCGUGCCUAACACAUGCAAGUCGAACGGAGCUGCUUUGAUGAGAUCUUCGGAUGGAUUUAAAACAGCUUAGUGGCGGACGGGUGAGUAACGCGUGGGUAACCUGCCUCACACUGGGGGAUAACAGUUAGAAAUAGCUGCUAAUACCGCAUAAGCGCACAGUUCCGCAUGGAACAGUGUGAAAAACUCCGGUGGUGUGAGAUGGACCCGCGUCUGAUUAGCCAGUUGGCGGGGUAACGGCCCACCAAAGCGACGAUCAGUAGCCGGCCUGAGAGGGUGAACGGCCACAUUGGGACUGAGACACGGCCCAAACUCCUACGGGAGGCAGCAGUGGGGAAUAUUGCACAAUGGGGGAAACCCUGAUGCAGCGACGCCGCGUGAGUGAAGAAGUAUUUCGGUAUGUAAAGCUCUAUCAGCAGGGAAGAAAGUGACGGUACCUGAAUAAGAAGCCCCGGCUAACUACGUGCCAGCAGCCGCGGUAAUACGUAGGGGGCAAGCGUUAUCCGGAUUUACUGGGUGUAAAGGGAGCGUAGACGGCAAGGCAAGUCUGAAGUGAAAGCCCGGUGCUUAACGCCGGGACUGCUUUGGAAACUGUUUGGCUGGAGUGCCGGAGAGGUAAGCGGAAUUCCUAGUGUAGCGGUGAAAUGCGUAGAUAUUAGGAAGAACACCAGUGGCGAAGGCGGCUUACUGGACGGUAACUGACGUUGAGGCUCGAAAGCGUGGGGAGCAAACAGGAUUAGAUACCCUGGUAGUCCACGCCGUAAACGAUGAUUGCUAGGUGUAGGUGGGUAUGGACCCAUCGG
rnacentral:rRNA from 1 species